rnacentral:rRNA from 1 species
AGUGAACGCUGGCGGCGUGCCUAACACAUGCAAGUCGAACGAUGAUGGAGGAGCUUGCUCUUCCUGAUUAGUGGCGCACGGGUGAGUAAUGCAUAGAUAAUGUGCCCCUUAGUUCGGGAUAGCCACUGGAAACGGUGAUUAAUACCGGAUACUCCUUCUUGCCUCAAGGUAAGUCGGGAAAGUUUUUCGCUAAGGGAUCAGUCUAUGUCCUAUCAGCUAGUUGGUGAGGUAAUGGCUCACCAAGGCUAUGACAGGUAUCUGGUUUGAGAGGAUGAUCAGACACACUGGAACUGAGACACGGUCCAGACUCCUACGGGAGGCAG